UACUAUUAAAUAUAAAAAUAUUUAAACAUUAUUUUCUAUAACCGUAAGUUUGUAUAGUGUCAUGGUUGUUUUAUAUUCUUUAAUAUAAUAUCAAAACAGGAUGUUCUGAGUUCGAGUCAAAUAUUUAAACACUAUUUUCUACGAGUAUAAGCUUUCAAAGUAUAACGAUUAUUUCAUAUUUUUUAACAAAUAACCACACAAAUUUAUCACCUUUAGCUAUUUCGCAAAUAGCACUACAACAGAAUUAGGUUAUAGGGACACAUGUUUGGGACACUUUUGAGUAAGUGUCCCAUUUAUGCUAAAACUUAAAAAAAUAUCUGCUAAUGCCUAAAUAUAAAGCCCAAUCCAACCAAAAAUAAAAGAUUACUCUACUCAACCCACCACACCCAGUCCAUUUGGUCCGAUUACAAACAGAAAAGCAAAAAAAAAAAAAAAUCAAUUACCAUAUUUUCUUCUCUCUUUACUCAAUCCACUGAAAUUCUAGAUAAAGAGCUUUUACUGUCGUCUUCCUCCGCUACCGCAGCCAACGAAAUAGAGUUUCGGCGGUUGCUAAAUGCUUAAAUAAGUGUUGGUAAAUUAACAGCAUUCUUUUAGAUUAUAGCGAUACUCUUUAACUGUCACUAUAUACCUAGCGACCCCACAUAUAGCAACACAUUUUAAAAGUGUCGGUAAUUUUAGCUAGCAGCACUUUUUUGACAUGUACCUACAUUUAAAAAUGUCGCUAUAGAGCGUUUUUG
rnacentral:lncRNA from 1 species